rnacentral:rRNA from 1 species
CCCGUCCUACGGGAGGCAGCAGUGAGGAAUAUUGGUCAAUGGGCGGAAGCCUGAACCAGCCACGUCGCGUGAGGGAAUAAGGCCCUACGGAUUGUAAACCUCUUUUGUCGGGGAGCAAAAGACGCCACGCGUGGCGUUCCGAGAGUACCCGAAGAAAAAGCAUCGGCUAACUCCGUGCCAGCAGCCGCGGUAAUACGGAGGAUGCGAGCGUUAUCCGGAUUUAUUGGGUUUAAAGGGUGCGCAGGCGGAAGAUCAAGUCAGCGGUAAAAUUGAGAGGCUCAACCUCUUCGAGCCGUUGAAACUGG